GCUGGACGGUACUGCUGCCAUCUCAGCUCACCGCAACCUCCCUGCCUGAUUCUCCUGCCUCAGCCUGCCGAGUGCCUGCGCAGGCGCGCGCCGCCACGCCUGACUGGUUUUCGUAUUUUUUUGGUGGAGACGGGGUUUUGCUGUGUCGGCCGGGCUGGUCUCCAGCUCCUAACCGCGAGUGAUCUGCCAGCCUCGGCCUCCCGAGGUGCCGGGUUUGCAGACGGAGUCUCGUUAACUCAAUGCUCAAUGGCGCCCAGGCUGGAGUGCAGUGGCGUGAUCUCGGCUCGCUACAGCCACCUCCCAGCCGCCUGCCUUGGCCUCCCAAAGAGCCGAGAUUGCAGCCUCUGCCCGGCCGCCCCCCCACCGUCUGGGAAGUGAGGAGCGUCUCCGCCUGGCCGCCCAUCGUCUGGGACGUGAGGAGCCCCUCUGCCUGGCUGCCCAGUCUGGAAAGUGAGGAGCAUCUCUGCCCGGCCGCCAUCCCAUCUAGGAAGUGAGGAGCGCCUCUUCCCGGCCGCCAUCACAUCUGGGAAGUGAGGAGCGUCUCUGCCCGGCCGCCCAUCGUCUGAGAUGUGGGGAGCACCUCUGCCCUGCCGCCCCGUCCGGGAUGUGAGGAGCGUCUCUGCCCGGCCGCCCCGUCUGAGAAGUGAGGAGACCCUCUGCCUGGCAACCGCCCCGUCUGAGAAGACUCCGGAUCUUGGGCCCUCUGCCCUGAACAGCUUUCUGUCCCCAGCCCUUACACCUGGAAGAAAAGAAUAAGAACUUUACCUGAGGAGAUGUAGAAAUUCGGGUGAUUCGGGAAUGGAGUUAGGUUUCAGAUAGAUUAAGAAAUGAUGGCAGGGAAUUUGUACCAUCUGAGAGAACUGUUAAUCACCCUCAGCUCUUCGCUGGCUAAAAACCGACGAGUUGCAUUGUUAAUUAUCCUUAGCUCUUUGGUGGCUGAAAACCGACGAGUUUCUCUAGAACUACCAAGAAAAAGUACUGAGGAAAAUAUGUGGCCAAUAUGGGGAUCGAACCCACGACCUUGGCGUUAUUAGCACCACGCUCUAACCAACUGAACUAACCGGCCAACAUUUUGGGUCUCUUCCCCCACAGCACUCCCCCUCCCCAUUAAUCUAGACACUCAUCCUUUUUUGUGGUGAAAGCAUUAAAUUCAGCAAUAUAA